UGUGCUUUUGAUAAGAAUAUGCAUAUUUAGUAUAGAGGAUUUGCAAAUUUCUGCUAAUAAAUUUGCACAUAAUUUGUAAAUUAUAUAUGCACAUUUUGUACAUAUAAAAUGCAAAUAUAGCAUAAAAGUUAUGCAUAUUUAAUCUUCACUCUUUGAUAUAUUCCCCUGUUUCCAUAUAUUUUCAACGACAUAUUGAUCAUAGUCAUGAUUCUUUUUUUUUUUUUUUUUUUUUUUUUUUUUUUUUUUUUGAAAACUGAGAGAAAAAAAAAGGGUGGGAGAAGAGAUAGUUAGAGAGGAGCGAAAGGGAGAGGAACAGGGAGGAGAGAGAGAAAUGGGGAAAAUUUCAUAAGUUAUUGAAUCUACUUUUGAACUCUACGAAAAAAAUAAUGGGGAUAAGUGAUGAAGAGGGAGGAAAGAGAGGAAGAUGACUAGAGGAAUUUGAGGAGGAGAGAGAAAUAGAGAAAAUUAUUAUUUACAAUUUUGCCAUUAAUGAAGCUUAUAAUGAGAGCCAUUAGAUCAUCUUUUUUGAACUUAUGAGAUUACUUCUCAUUAUAAAGUCUUUCUCAUUUGACCCUAUAUAUAUGUAUAUAUGUAGGACCAAGUUAUAAUGAGAACCAAUCUUAUAAUAGGAACUAGGAACUCAGGAGGACCGUCAGAUCUAACAAGAAACACGCCUUAAUGAACGGCCAAGAUCUAUACUGAAGCGCGAUCGUGAAUUUUCUGUCUCCUUCACCACUUUCUUUCUCCUCAAGCUUUCUCUCUCCUCAAACGCUCUCUCGAUCUCCUCUGCAAACUGGAUCAUUCACCGCCAUUAAUCUCUCUCCUCCAGCACUAUUUCUCUGCUCCACGAACUGGAAAACCUCCAUUAAUUGCAGAAUCGAUGUCUAAAAAGGCUCUAUGGCAGAAUGCGAUGGUGGGUGUCAUGGGUUUUUUUAAGCUCGUGGAAGACUUCAAACUCUAUGCAUCUGCUAUCUCAGGGGGAGCUGGGUCUGUUCAGGUGAGUACAGGGGAGAGAUUGGUUUUAUCUCGUGAGAAAUGGGUGCACCCGGUGAUGGGCGGGUAAACACAAAUGCUGCAGUUAUGGAGGGGAUUGGCGUGGGGCUGGGGGUCUGCAUUCGAGAUUUGGAGGGGAAGCUCUUGCUGUGGCAGAUCCGCUGUUGAAUCUGUGAAGCUCGCUGAGGCUCUAGCAGCAAGGAUGAGAGUGAGGCUUGCUAAGAGGCUUGGAUUUAAAGACAUUGAGCUAAAAUUUGAUGCUCUUGAAAUUGUCAAGCUAUAUGGUCGGAGACCCCUGGCAGAACCCCAACAGAGAUAGUGAUUGAAGAUAUUAGAUAUAUGUGAUUUGAAGAAUCCUGGCAGAUGCUGCAAAAUCCCUUGGUAAAAUUCAAAAUAAGAUCGGAGAAGUGCAGAUCCCUACAAUCAAAUUACCUUUCCCAAAUCGACAUCUCAAGAAUAAGUUGGACAAGCAGUUUGGUUAUGCUGGCAUUUGGAGCAGUGAGAUGGAUGCUAUUGAAAAAGCUCUAGCAAAUGAGCAACUUGACCCUAAGGAAAGCGAUAAGGUAGAAAAAUUUGUGGAGGUAAAGAAACCCAAACUUAAACCUCUCCCUUCUAACUUGAAAUAUGUAGUUUUAGAUGAGUAGGAACCGCACCUCGUGAUCAUCAGUACUGCACUUGAUGAACCCCAAACUUCCCAACUCCUAGAGGUUCUCUAAACCCACAAAAAGGCAAUUGGGUACAGUAUUGAUGAUCUCAAGGGUAUUAGCCCUGAAUUUUGCAUGCACAGGAUACAUUUAGAGGAAAAUCACAAGCCAUGUAUUCAACCACAGAGUAGGUUGAAUCCUAACAUGCAGGAAGUCGUCAAGAAAGAGGUUAUGAAAUUACUUGAUGCAGGUAUUAUCUAUCCGAUUUAUGACUCAAAGUGGGUGUUGAGGUAAAUAUUGUUCUUUACUAAGUUAGAUACUCUAUCUUGUUCCAGAGUAUUACACAAUUAUUAAUGGUUUAUACGAAGUAUUGUUUAGUGAUAAUAUAGCUAGUGUUGAUCUAGAAUAAUUUGUGGUUUGGUAGUAUGACUAGUAGUAUACUAUGGACAGUACACACUUUGGCCUGAAUAUUUUCCUAGCUAACUUCCUUAAAUGAAAUUAGAAGAAUGAAUGUGGAUGGUAACUUACCAUCACCUAUAACAUGUUGAGUAGAACCCAUUAUCAAGUUUAGUGACUAUAGAAGUCACGUGAAGGAGAAGGGAGUUAAUUACUUUAAAAAAAAUAGCCAGAGACCGGAAAUCAUUUAUGUCAUUUACGACAUCCAACCCCCAAAAUUCAUGUUGUUUGUUGCUCCACUUAAAGUUCGUGCUGUUAAGCGCACCCAAGUAAUAAUUUGUAUUGUUUUAGCCAAUUUUGCCUAAUUUUAUUUUGUUGAAAAUCGAUUAUUUUAUCGUUCAACUUGUAAGUUUAACAGAAAUGGACACAAUAUUUCAUUCGAGGAGGAUUUCUUAAUAUUCACAACUUUAAGAAGAAACUUUAAUUAAAUACCAUAUUAUGCUGACUUAGCAAAUUAUAUUACUUAAUCUUUUGUAAUUUUUAUUUUUUUUUAAAAAUUUUUCAAAACAAUUCUUUGUGAGAUUUAAAUUUAUCCAUGAACAAAAAGGUCUAAAGUUGUAUUAAUUUCAUAUAUUACAAUCAUACUUUUAGCCCUAUUGCAAUUAAUAUUCAAUAAUUUAAACGAUUAGCCAUAUAAGGAUACAAAAGACCAUUGUUAGGCAAUAAAAAAUAGUAGCAUAAAUUGAAUUUUUUUAUUAUUCAUUAGGUAAUGGUCUUCUCCUUUUUAGGAAGAGUAAAACAACAAACUAGAGGUACUCUUGCGACUGCUAGUAGACAUACACCAGGCCUAUUAAUAAAUGUCUUACAAGCCUGAAUACAUUAUUGUGUUAGUACACAUGGUACAGCUUCACCCGUCAAACACUCAUAUUCAAAAUCUUGAGGACGACCGCGUGCUUCGGCUUCAAAAACUAAUCAAAUAAGUGAAAAUCUUUCGCCCGCGGAGUAGUCAGGGUUUUGAAAAAUUCUCUUGAUAAGGUGAUCUCUAGACUUGAUGACAUUUCUAGCUGGGUCUCUUUGUUAGCAUUGCCUCUUUGCACCCUUAAAACCUUUCACCCGAGGAGUAAUCAGGAGUCUAGGUCAUCGGUAAAAUGUCGGCAUCAAGAAGAGAGUAUUUCCCAUGCUAUUUGUUCUUGGAGUGCACCAGGUGGUAGUUUGCAGCUUGUGAGGGAAACUUUGGCAAAGGAUUCUCCUACUUUGUCGGUGGUUGAUGAUGAGGACCUUGAUUUGGAAGAGCGUAAUAUCAAGCAGUGUCGUAUGAAGUUUUGUGAUGGCCAUUACACCGAUGCAGUUCGGGUUCUUUCUUCUUCAGACGUUGCUCCUUAUAAUGAGGCCACUCUUGUGGAUUUACAGUCAAAACUGAAAAGAAUGGUGUCCUUCCAACAAGUGUAUUCUUCCGAUAGAGGGUUCAGAAUUAUUACGGAGCUAAUUCUUCAGU